rnacentral:rRNA from 1 species
GGGAUUAGAUACCCCACUAUGCUUAGCCUUAAACCUAGAUGUUGAAUUUACAAGCAACAUCCGCCAGGGUACUACAAGCGCUAGCUUAAAACCCAAAGGACUUGACGGUGUCUCAGACCCACCUAGAGGAGCCUGUUCUAGAACCGAUAAUCCCCGUUAAACCUCACCACCCCUUGUUUCCUCCGCCUAUAUACCGCCGUCGCAAGCUUACCCUGUGAAGGUCUAAUAGUAAGCAAAAUGGGUAAAUCCCAAAACGUCAGGUCGAGGUGUAGCUUACGAGGUGGGAAGAAAUGGGCUACAUUUUCUAUGCCAGAAUAAUACGAACAGCACCAUGAAAUUAGUGCUCGAAGGUGGAUUUAGUAGUAAAAAACAAAUAGAGAGUCUUUUUGAACCAGGCUCUGAGACGCGCACACACCGCCC